rnacentral:rRNA from 1 species
UAGCGUAAUCAAUAGCCAAUUAAUUGUUGGCCGGUAUGAAUGGCGUCACGAAGGCCCCACUGUCUUAAGAGGACUCUCCAUGAAAUUGAAUUCGUAGUGAAGAUGCUACGUCCAUAUUGUAAGACGAAAAGACCCCAUUGAGCUUUACUAAAGACUUGCAUGGCUCAAAAUAAUUUGAUUUAAAUAAAAAGUUUAGAUAAUGUGGGAUCCGUUUCCGGUUAAUGAAACACCACUCUUUUAUUUUAAGAGAGCUAACAUUACAGGGAUAGUGUAAGUUGGAUAGUUUGGUUGGGGCGACCACCUUUUAAAAGGUAACGAAGGUGAGCUUAAGGUCCGUAGUUAAUAGCCGGUGGCCUGACUGCAAGGGGGACGUCUCGAGCAGACACGUCCUUAGGGAUGUGGACUAUAGUGACCCGUC